AGUAGUCAUACGCUCGUCUCAAAGAUUAAGCCAUGCAUGUGUAAGUCUAAAUAGCUUUAGUGUGAAACUGCGAAUGGCUCAUUAUAUCAGUUAUAGUUUAUUUGGAAUAGUUUCUAUAUGGAUAACCGUAGUAAUUCUAGGGCUAAUACAUGUGUUUUCUUUGAUGGGCAACCAUUAAAGAAGUACUUAUUAGACAUAAAACCAAUUUAAUGUUGUUGUGAGUAAUAAUAAUUGUUGACUUUAUCGCAUGCUUGUUAGUAGCGAUGUUCCUUUCAAGUUUCUGCCCUAUCAGCUUUCGAUGGUAGUGUAUUGGACUACCAUGGCAGUAACGGGUAACGAAGAA
rnacentral:rRNA from 1 species